CUAUAUCCUUGACUGGAGAAGAAAUUUAUUAAAUACUUUUAUCGCACUUCUUAGCCUCAUCUAAGCUUUCCUUUUUUGGGUUUCUUUUAUACUUCAUACUGCUAAACGUAUGCUUACAAGUUAUAAUUUAUUUUUAUCUCACAAUGUACUAAAAUAGGCAUAGCUCAUUCCGCACAAGUAGCAUUGUAAUAAUGUAAAUUAUUUUAAACUAUCACAUGAAUGAAAAUAAAAACCCAUUUCCACAAUCUUUUUACGCAUAAACUUUCUUCAGGUUUUGUUGUCCAUGUAUUUUUAGCUUAACUCUAGAUCUUUGUGCAUAUUCUCAGCCGAAGAAAAUAAUGAAUUGAGAUGACAAAUUUUGUUGUGGCAGACUGGCAGACAAUGCAAAAAAUGUGGAGACAGGCACCACCAUAAACAUAAACUUAAAGUUUCAAACUAUGUCUAAACAGCUGAACCCUAGCCCAUAAACUAUUUAACUUGUUGUACAACGGUAAUACACGGCCUAAUUUUAGAACCCUUUUAAAAAAGCACUGUGUCACACAAAAGAUGGUUAAUGCUGAAUUACGAUGUGCUUUUCAAACAACGGAUUAUUAAUGAAUGCAUCAUUUUUUGAAAAAAUACUCUUGGUGAUACUUUGCAGAAAAGCUAAGUCGUCCGAUGACUUGAGUAAUUGCUCGAGUGACAGGAUGACUAGUGGGUGACAAGUGUUGUCGUUAUGUUAUGUCGCAAGGCGUCUUUCGAGCUGGGAUCGGAGGAGAAAAUAAGAUCGUGUAAUUGUCUUUCGCUCCAUGACAAAAAAAUGAGCCAAGUGUCAAUUUGUAUAAAGUCGGUAUUUCUUUUGGGUGUUUUUCAUCGCUCAUAAAAAUCUUUCUUAAAAAAUGUGCAUCCAAAAUAACCUCAUAUUCUUUGACCUUCACUACCUCUCCACACACCUACACAUCCCACACAGCGAUGGCCCCCCACAACACCGAACUAUUAUCACCGUACAAGUACGUACAUACUUGCCAGUUAAGCAAAUUCCAUUUAUCGCACACAUCACAUACCAUUCUUUUAUCGGCCAACUACUAUAUAGUCUCAUUGCCAAGUCAUUUAACACCGAGAGAGCAGAGCCAAUUUGUUUCCGUCCAGCCGAGACGGUUAAUUACCCGAAUCCAAGUCUGUCUCGGCUUCCACUCCGACAAAAGUGUAAAAUUCCAGUUCCCUUUUUAUAUAUUGUCAAGUAAUUGAUGGUACAGAUUGUGAAACAGUUUUGCGUUACUGCAAGUAUUUCACUAAAGCAAGGGCAAGUGCCAAGUGCCAAGUCUACGCGCGUGCAUGGGCCAUGGGUCAUGGAUGGCAAUUGAUAAUGUGCAGAUUGGCAUGUCAAGGAGGUUAAAACAGGUGUGGGCAACUGGAAAAUAUGACUCGUCAGGUAAGGACUGAAUGCAUAUCUACACAUAUUUAGAAGCAUCAAUUAUUCAUUCGUGG